rnacentral:sRNA from 1 species
UCGCUUCGAGCGCCGAAGGCAGGAGCGGGGGACCCAAGGUAAGCGCCGGGCCCACGCGUUGAGCGGCCAGCGGCCGCGCGACGCGCAGGACCGGCUAGGGGUGAAGUCGUACGGAAGCCGUGCGGCCGGGCACUCACCCGCCCGAACCCGACAGCUCACCUCGCAGGCGUCGGUGAGGGGAUCA